AAAAGAAAAAAAACCGUCUUUUUCAUUCUAGCGCUGGCCAAACCCUCGGUGCCUCGAACCCUCCGUAACUUCCUCUCAAAUCCUCUCUGCAACGACGUGCUUCUCAGGUUACUCCAACUCCUGGUUCUAUGGGUCAAGGGCGUGCUCGUGGCUCAAGUUUAGGACCCACUCCCACUCAAGUGUUCAAGUCUUCACCACGUCGAUUUACUGGGAUUGAGAUUCAUAAUGAGGCUAAUAUGGAAGAUUAUCAAAAUGUAGAUGCUAGACUUUCGAUAUUAGAAUCGAAAAUGGCCAAUAUGCUUUCGAUUUUGGUACAAAAUGGUUUCAUGCAAGCCAGCGGUGCAAAUGGGGUGUAUACAAAUGGUGCUUCGCCAUAUUGUCAAUACAAGAAUCCUGGACGUGUUAGUAGCAUGAGAUUACGUCCCACCUCCACUCAAGUGUUCCAUCGCGAUAUUCGUUACRAGACUAAUAUGGAUCAAAAUGUAGAUGCCAGACUUUCAGUAUUAGAGUCGCAAAUGGCCAAGGUAGUUUCAGUUUUACGACGAAAUGGUUUCAUGCAAGCCAACAUCUGAGCAUGGUCACACACAAAUGGUGUUUCAAGACAGGAUCAUGGAGGCAACUCUUGGAGUGGAAUGAUGUGUCGAGUUUGUGAAGUCGACCCUAUCCGACCCGCGUCCUUCGUGAUAUUUUAACAACAGUUUGUAGUGGUAAAACAUUUUUAUCUAGUAUCUCCAAGGUUAAAUAUUUUGAUAUUUUCUUUAGUGAAUAUUUUUGGGAUGAUAUCAAGUAUGUCUCACUAGAGUAUUCUUCUAAUUUUACCCUUUUUCUUUGUGUUAACAUCUUGUGGAUGGGAGUAUUAUUGUGCACAUAUAUGUAAAGAUAUGCACUAAGAAAAUGGUUUUUAAGUUUUUUUGGGGCUGUUA